UGGGGAAUAUUGGACAAUGGGGGGAACCCUGAUCCAGCGAUGCCGCGUGUGUGAAGAAGGCCUGAGGGUUGUAAAGCACUUUCAGUUAGGAGGAGAUUGUGUUGGUUAAGAGCUGACAUGAGGGACGUUACUGACAGAAGAAGCACCGGCUAACUCCGUGCCAGCAGCCGCAGUAAUACGGGGGGGCGAGCGUUAAUCGGAAUUAUUGGGCGUAAAGGGUGCGUAGGUGGUUUAAUAAGUUAACUGUGAAAUACCUGGGCUUAACCUUGGUAAGUGGUUAAUACUGUUAGGCUAGAGUUCAGGAGAGGGUAGUGGAAUUUCCGGUGUAGCGGUGAAAUGCGUAGAGAUCGGAAGGAACACCGGUGGCGAAGGCGGCUACCUGGACUGAUACUGACACUGAGGCACGAAAGCGUGGGGAGCAAACA
rnacentral:rRNA from 1 species